rnacentral:rRNA from 1 species
AGAUUGAACGCUGGCGGCAGGCCUAACACAUGCAAGUCGAGCGGUAGAGAGGUGCUUGCAUCUCUUGAGAGCGGCGGACGGGUGAGUAAUGCCUAGGAAUCUGCCUUUUUGUGGGGGAUAACGUAGGGAAACUUACGCUAAUACCGCAUACGACCUACGGGUGAAAGCGGAGGACCUUCGGGCUUCGCGCAGAAAGAUGAGCCGACGUCGGAUUAGCUAGUUGGAGGGGUAAUGGCCCACCAAGGCGACGAUCCGUAGCUGGUCUGAGAGGAUGAUCAGCCACACUGGGACUGAGACACGGCCCAGACUCCUACGGGAGCAGCAGUGGGAAUAUUGGACAAUGGGCGCAAGCCUGAUCCAGCCAUGCCGCGUGUGUGAAGAAGGCCUUCGGUGUAAAGCACUUUUGACGGUAAGAAAAGCAAGUACGGUUAAUACCCGGUGUCCAUGACGUACGUAAG